AGCGCGGUAGAGCAGUUUGGUAGCUCAGGAGUCUCAUAAACUUCAGGUCACGGGUUCAAAUCCCGUUCGCGCCAC
rnacentral:tRNA from 1 species